rnacentral:rRNA from 1 species
UACGGAGGGUGCAAGCGUUAUCCGGAUUCACUGGGUUUAAAGGGUGCGUAGGUGGACUUGUAAGUCAGCGGUGAAAGCCCGAUGCUUAACAUCGGAACUGCCAUUGAUACUGCAAGUCUUGAAUAUGUUUGAAGUGGGCGGAAUGUGUCGUGUAGCGGUGAAAUGCUUAGAUAUGACACAGAACACCGAUUGCGAAGGCAGCUCACUAAACCAUUAUUGACACUGAGGCACGAAAGCGUGGGGAGCAAACAGGAUUAGAAACCCCUGUAGU